CAAAAAUUCAACGCGUAGUUUGACUUCCUCACAAUCGGACAACACCGCAUGUUCUUUUUGACUUUUAUUGAUCAACCAAACAUUAUUUUCUCAAUAGAUUCCUAAACCCUCUAUCAAAGUCAAAUCACUUGUGAUUUAGUUUUUCAUCUAAUUUUGUCAUGGCAAUAAGCAACCCUCUGAAAUCCGUGAAGGUGGCACUUCUCCUCUUCGUCUUUGUCUUCAUCUUAACACCGAUUUUCCCAGCCGCCGACGCAGCUCGAUUUACUGAGGUGCUUGCGAAGAUUCCUAGGUGUCCGGCUUGUUUAUGCUGUGAGCCUCCACCGCCGGGAAUGUGCUGCCGUUGUUGUGCUUCUUCUUCACCCUCUGGGGUUAAGACUAACAAUGGCUUUCCAUGAUAAGCUCUAAAGUAGUGGGGGAUUUUCGAUUUUGGACGUGAUAAAUAAUUACAACAAUUUGGAGCUUCGAAAUCUGAGCAUCAGCAUCUAAAGAUUACGAAAAAUCUUCUUGUUUAUGUAUGUUAUGUUCUGCUUCUUCUUUCAAUCUUCGCGGUUAAGACUAAUAAUGUAUUAUCUCCUAAACUUCUUUUUAAUGAGUUUAUUUGAUUAGUCUGGUA